UUGUCAUUAAGAUUUUUUCCUCUUUGUUAAGGGGGUGGGUAGAAAGAUAAAUGUGAAACACCUUCUUUCACCAUCUCACCCUUCUCCUUGCUACAAGCCAGAAAACAUCUUGCCUGGCGAUUGGGGAAGAUUUUCUGCCAUUUCCAAGUCCCACAUCUGAACAAAGAGUUGACAGACAAAAAUGGCUGGAAAGGUAGAACAAAAUCCCCGAACCCCAAGGAUCAAGUGCAAGGGUCAAAACCUAACCAUACCAGAAUUUAGCAUAGAGGAUUUCAAGAAACAUUCUCAUAUGCUUGCUUCACCAACAUCACAAGAUGCUUCAAAAUCAAGGUGGAAGAAUUGCCUCUGCUCCCCAACCACUCAUGCUGGUUCCUUCCGCUGCAGGCACCACAGAACUUCGAGCUUCGGCUCAGGCCUCAAUCGGGGAGCCUCCGUCGGCUCGAACCUCUCGGAGCUGGGGGCUCGCAAGUCUAGCCCCCUUAGUGAUUCAGUCCCUGCCCAGUAACUUGUUCAUACAAAAAUGUUGAGUGAAAUAGUUGGCAUGCAUGCCUGUUGCUUCAGCAUAAGAAUAAUACUAUCAACAUAUCACCAGAAAACAAAACAAAAAAAGAAGCUGAUAUUGUGACAAAUGUUGUAUUAAUUUGUUAGUAAUUUGGUCUUUCCUUGGAGAGAACAAUAACCUUAUUAUAUCUACAACAUAU